ACUAGCAUCCAACUGUCACUUGCAUACCACCUGACACUUUUCAUGUGAUGUGCUCCUGACUACUUGAGCAGCAGCAGAGGCUACUGGGAAUUGAGAUCUGCUUGUGUCAUGACAUGCACAUACACUUUAGUAAGAUAUUAAACACUAUCCACCCCUUUGUAGAUGUCAAAUUAAGUAGAACAAAACAAACAGAUUUUCCCAAAACCAGCCACACCACCCAUGCCCCUUCCACCAACUGUCUACAGACCAAGAACAAUUAAUUUAGCCAAAAUCUGGACUACUGUAGCUCAUGUUUUACUAAUGACCAUGCCUCUUUACCACUUUUUUACACACAAAAUAUGUAACUGUUCAGCAUUGGAGAAAGCAUUACUAAACAAAGGGGAAUGUGAAGGAAAAGGUCUGUCACAAAAUAAGGUCGGCUGCUGUCACUGAAGGUGGAUCCCUUGGUUAUAUAUUACUUCUGGAUUAUCAAGGAAGAGCUGAAGUAUAUUCUGGCCAUUGAGCUCUUGGACAGUACUGAAGUGAAUCCCAGUGAUAGUUUUUAGCACUACCACAAGAUGGUUCCUCAAGUAAAGAAACAAUGUAAAGUAAGCGAAGACAACAACAGAUGCUGAGAUAGCUGUGUGUACAGCUAUAAAAUACACUAAAUUACAUAAACAUUUUGUAGAACAACAACACUGACUUAUUGUGCUUAUUUAAACAAAGAUCUUUAUGGCAAUAUGCUGCAGAUAACACAAGCAGCAAUAUAAACAAGAAGGUGUUGACUCAUUUUACAGAGGAAGAAGACAAUAACAUGAUCACAUUUAAUAUUGUUAAUAUUAACUGUGUGCCAACUGCUACUGAGGAAGUCCCAUGGCA